rnacentral:lncRNA from 1 species
UACUUAUUUUAACUUGAUUUAAUACAUUUUCUUAUUCUAGCUUAAGAGCAUCCAAAAAAACUCUUCUAGUCAAUUUUCAAGUGUCAACAAGCUGUUUUUCUUGGUCUCACAAACUCAACUUUGAAAUGGGAAUAACUUAGUCUCCCAUAUGGUGUCGAAAGCUACUUCAUAGUGGAAAUCUCCUGUAUAUUCAUACAAAAUUUGAGAGGAGCAGGUGGAAAAUAUCUGGCAAUUAAAGUUAGUGCUAUGGAGCUAGGACUCGGAGUGACACAGCCAACCUAUUCGAAGUCCACAUGUUCUGCUAUCAGCAGUUGGUUACGUGACUGUUCCUACUGCAGUGGGGGAGAAGCCUUCGAAGAGAUGACAAAAGAUUUCAUCCGAUUUAUGAUAAGUACAUCUGAGCAGAUGAUUGCAUUUAUCUGAAAGGAAAUGGUUAAAAGCUGUUCUGGCUCUGACAUCGUACUGCAGGCGUAUUGGGGUAUUGACAAAGAAAUGUAGCUUUCUGUGAAUGCAGGAAGCCGCCUCCAAUAAACUUCACAAAGUUUCACAGAGAAACAGACACAAAAAGGUCUCCACUCUCCUCAGUCCUUCAUUUGUAAUUUUAUUUUCAGCAGCAGAUUCCUCUGCUCAUUUGAAACACUCGACUCUGAGCCAGAAGAUGGUGGCACCAUCCUGUAAGGGAAGCGUUCAUCAUCCUCUUGCAGCAGCAGCUGAAGGUCCAUCAGAUGCCAUUUUUCAGAACUGCGGCCUCCAGGUUCCAUACUGGGUGAACACCAGGCACGGAGAGAGCUUUGACAUUGUGAGAUCACAGUAUUCAGGAAGACGCUUUCUAAGAUUUGUUGUUGGAAAAUGCAAAAAUAACAUUGUUAUCAGCUUCUGA